UCUCCCCUGCCCGGUGCGUGAUGGGCUUAUAUUAAACCCACAUUUUUAAAACGGGACGCCCCACUCGUCCCGCGGUUCGCAGGCCUCCCGGCUCUUAGUCGGAAGUUGGAAGCGGUAAAGCGGUACGGAGGCGACCCACCUGCCGAGUCGUGCAGGUUUUAAUUGGGUCCACACGGCCAUGGCGGGGGAGUU
rnacentral:other from 1 species